GAGCCUGUCUGGUGCACAUGGGUACUGCUAAUUCCUCAUUAUUAUGGUUCAAUUCCAUGACCUGCUCGA
rnacentral:tRNA from 1 species